rnacentral:rRNA from 1 species
AUUGAACUCUGGCGGCAGGCCUAACACAUGCAAGUCGAACGAGUGGCGGACGGGUGAGUAAUGUCUGGGAAACUGCCUGAUGGAGGGGGAUAACUACUGGAAACGGUAGCUAAUCCCGCAUACCAUCAGAUGUGCCCAGCUGGGAUUAGCUUGUUGGUGGGGUAACGGCUCACCAAGGCGACGAUCCGCAACUGGUCUGAGAGGAUGAUCAGUCACACUGGAACUGAGACACGGUCCAGACUCCUACGGGAGGCAGCAGGGGGGAAUAUUUGACAAUGUGCGAAAGCCUGAUCCAGCCAUGCCGCGUGUGUGAAGAAGGUCUUCGGAUUGUCAAGCACUUUAAGCUGGGAGGCGGUACCAACAGAAUAAGCACCGGCUAACUUCGUGCCAGCAGCCGCGGUAAUUC